GGUUGUUGCUGGCUCUUAGGAGC
rnacentral:rRNA from 5 species